rnacentral:rRNA from 1 species
AACGGCCAUACCAUGCUGAAUAUACCGGUUCUCGUUAGAUCACCGAAGUCAAGCAUCAUUGGGCGCGGUCGGUACUUGGGUGGGUGACCACCUGGGAACACCGCGUGCCGUU